rnacentral:tRNA from 1 species
UGCAGAAAAGUGUAUUGGCACAUAAAUUUUUGGAAUUUAUAGAGAUGGGUUAGUCCAUCUUUUGCAG